ensembl:ncRNA Y51A2D.27 ncRNA
CCUACAUGAGUUUUUUGAUUUCAUAGGCAAAUCGAAGGGAUUUCGUGUUGAGAUGAGUAUCACUCGUCGAACUGCAA